rnacentral:rRNA from 1 species
CCCCUAGAUGUUCUGGGCCGCACGCGCGCUACACUGAACAGUUCAACAAGUCUUAACCUUGGCCGAUAGGUCUGGGUAAUCUUUGAACGCUGUUCGUGAUUGGGAUAGACCUUUGCAAUUAUGGGUCUUCAACGAGGAAUUCCUAGUAAACGCAAGUCAUCAGCUUGCAUUGAUUACGUCCCUGCCCUUUGUACACACCGCCCGUCGCACCUACCGAUUGAAUGGUCCGGUGAAAUCUCGGGACGGCGGCUUGGUCGCUUGCGUCCGACUGCUGAAACUUGAUUAAACCAUAUCAUUUAGAGGAAGGUGAAGUCAUAACA